GGCUUCCAGUGUGGUUAAAAAGCUGCCAAGUGGCUGUAGAGAGAGGCUUCAGGCAGAAGCUCUGAAACCAGAGGGGUUCCUCAAAGGCCCCUGUAAGAUACGCUGGGCCCUUUACUGGGUGCAACUGGACAAAUGUCUCCUCCAGAAACAAAAUACAAAGAAACUAUAAGGGACUAAAAGUAACUGCAUGCAUUCACAGUUGGGGCAAAUUAUGAACAGCAGAUACAAAAAGGCCAAAACCCAACUGCCGCUUCUGAGAUGCCAGGAGCAAAAGCAGAGUACUCUGCAUGAUCCCUGCAAACAGCACCACUAAGGGGGUGAGCAGACCACCAGAGCCACCCGUCCAGCCCAACCCUCCAAUCUAUUCCUACACUCACCCAUUUGAGGGGCCAUCUCACUCUCCCCACCAGGAAUGAGCAAGGGCGCCAGUUACAUGUUUUCACUCCUUCGUGCUGUAGCACGGAUCCCAGUACAGCCUUGCCUAAAUUCUGCCAUCUGGCUUCUUAUCAAUUUCUGUUGAUUAAAGAGUCCAAGGACCCAGAUUGGCGGCAGCUGGGCUUCAGAAGCCCCUAGUCCUGCUAGAGAGUGAGUGGAGAACUCGCCCUGCCCAGCCUGGGGACCAACCAGCGUGUGGAGGGGAGUCACAUGGCUGUCAUCUUAUUGAUGUGUUUCACCUGCUUCCCCAGGACUGGGCUCUCUGGGAAGGCACAGAGGUGGGGUCUGGCGGGCAGAACCCAGGGUAUGCAGAUCCAAAAAAGGCUUGGUUCUGGUUCUUCUCCAUGAGAAUGGCAGCUCCCAUAUAGCGUCCUGAGUUUUACUCCAUUCUUCUUGGGGUGGCUUCUAUGCGUCCUGAAGAGGGCACGGCUGCCCCACUGGUUUUGCAUUUUCAAGAGAUGAUGGGCACGCUCAAGCUUCUCCUUGGCUGAUUCAUAGAAAAAGUCGUUGACGCCCUCCAGAGCCACAUCCUCUCCUUGGAAAUAGAAGCCCAGAGAGAGGGCUUCCCAGGUGGCUCAGUGGUAAAGAAUCUGCCUGCCAAAGCAGGAGACGCAGGAGAUGUGGUUCCAUCUCUGGGUUGGGAAGAUGCCCUCGAGUAGGAAAUGGCAAUCCACUCCAGUAUUCCUGCCUGAAAAUUUCCAUGGAUCCCAAAGGACUAUAGUCAUUGCCACAUCUGGAAACUGUUCAUAGGUGCUGUCUCUGCUGCCACCUUCACGACAAGGGCUCCACUUGGUCCCAGAUUUGUAACAUCAUUUUCAAACUCAAAGUUUGGAGUUGAUGCAUCUGUUUGGCAGACUGGAUCAAACACCUGCAUCCCAUCUUUACAGAAGGCGAGGAAGGGAUCUUCCAGACCCAGGGAUCGAAACUACAUCUCCUGCAUCUCCUGCAGUGGCAAAUGGAUUCUUUACUACUAAGCCACCUGGGCAGUCCCUUUGUAUCACAGAACAGCUGAACCCUAUAGGCAUUUCCACUAUGACAACUGGCAGAAUGUUAGGUUUGGCCAAUAGAGGGUGCUGGAAAGACACUGGGAAGCCAGAACAAGAGCAAGGACUUUCUCCUUCAGGUGGAUUGGCUUGCAGCAGAGGCCUGCUUGUGUUCACCUCAGCAAUCCUCGCGGUUCGCUUGUGCGGCCCCUGCCUCCAGCAAGUUUCUUCACCACAAGUGGACUGUGGACUGUAGGUUCCUGCGACAGCCAUGCCCUCUCCUCCUCAGCCAAGGGUAGCAGCUAUUCUUAUAGUUCCUGCUUCUAGACCCCUGAGAACCUACUCUCCCAUUUUUAGUAGUUAGAUACCUUUUACUGGUCAACAAAGUUUAUAUUAAAUUUUCCCUGUUCAAAUUACUAUUAUGAUUUCUGUCUUGUGGUUGGUCCCAGCAGAAAUACCUAGCAGAUAAGGGAAAAAAGACAGAUGUAAGUUAAUGUAAAUUCUGUGAGAGAAUAGGCCACUAUAAUCACAGCCCCAAAUCCAAAAAAGUUUCAGGUGUAAAUCUACAGAAUUAUGUAUCAGUUUGGAUUGUGUUCAACUGCACAUAACAGAAACCUGACUCAGUGGCUUAACCAAAUAGAUUGAUUUUCUCCUGUACCAUGA
ensembl:lncRNA